AGUGCCAAAGUCAAGUUAGCAGCAUCCAUUCUUUUGUUGCAGUUUUGGUGCUUCCUUUCCCACUUCUACGAUCUAUUCGAAGUCAUAGGAAUAGCAGUGAUUGAGCAAGGAAUUUAUUUUAGUUGGGUAUUCGGCCUAAGUGCUUCGCUUGGAACUAUGUAAUUUGUAAUUUUCCAUUACAUGAAUUAUACCACUUGGUUUUGUUUUUAUCCAGCUAAUGAUACAAUCAAA
rnacentral:misc_RNA from 1 species